rnacentral:rRNA from 1 species
GGGAAGAGAGCUUGAGAGAUUCGAGUGUGCCUUCGGGAACUCUGAGACAGGUGCUGCAUGGCUGUCGUCAGCUCGUGUUGUGAAAUGUUGGGUUAAGUCCCGCAACGAGCGCAACCCUUAUCCUUGUUUGCCAGCACUUCGGGUGGGAACUCCAGGGAGACUGCCGGUGAUAAACCGGAGGAAGGUGGGGACGACGUCAAGUCAUCAUGGCCCUUACGAGUAGGGCUACACACGUGCUACAAUGGCAUAUACAGAGGGCAGCAAGACCGCGAGGUGGAGCGAAUCCCAGAAAGUAUGUCGUAGUCCGGAUCGGAGUCUGCAACUCGACUCCGUGAAGUCGGAAUCGCUAGUAAUCGUGGAUCAGAAUGCCACGGUGAAUACGUUCCCGGGUCUUGUACACACCGA